rnacentral:rRNA from 1 species
GCGAACGCUGGCGGCAGGCCUAACACAUGCAAGUCGAACGAACCUUUCGGGGUUAGUGGCGGACGGGUGAGUAACACGUGGGAACGUGCCUUUAGGUUCGGAAUAACUCAGGGAAACUUGUGCUAAUACCGAAUGUGCCCUUCGGGGGAAAGAUUUAUCGCCUUUAGAGCGGACCGCGUCUGAUUAGCUAGUUGGUUGAGGUAAUGGCUCACCAAGGCGACGAUCAGUAGCUGGUCUGAGAGGAUGAUCAGCCACAUUGGGACUGAGACACGGCCCAAACUCCUACGGGAAGCAGCAGUGGGGAAUCUUGCGCAAUGGGCGAAAGCCUGACGCAGCCAUGCCGCGUGAAUGAUGAAGGUCUUAGGAUUGUAAAAUUCUUUCACCGGGGACGAUAAUGACGGUACCCGGAGAAGAAGCCCCGGCUAACUUCGUG